AGAGUUUGAUCAUGGCUCAGAACGAACGCUGGCGGCAGUAACACAUGCAAGUCGAACGCUCGUAGCAAUACGGGAGGGCAGACGGGUGAGUAACGCGUGGGAACAUACCCUCCGGUUCGGAAUAGCUCAGGGAAACUUGGAUUAAUACCGGAUACGGCUGAGAGGCGAAAGAUUUAUCGCCGGAGGAUUGGCCCGCGUUCGAUUAGCUUGUUGGUGAGGUAACGGCUCACCAAGGCGAUGAUCGAUAGCUGGUCUGAGAGGAUGAUCAGCCACAUUGGGACUGAGACACGGCCCAAACUCCUACGGGAGGCAGCAGUGGGGAAUAUUGGACAAUGGGCGCAAGCCUGAUCCAGCCAUGCCGCGUGAGUGAUGACGGCCUUAGGGUUGUAAAGCUCUUUCGCUCGGGACGAUAAUGACGGUACCGAGAUAAGAAGCCCCGGCUAACUUCGUGCCAGCAGCCGCGGUAAUACGAAGGGGGCUAGCGUUGUUCGGAAUUACUGGGCGUAAAGCGCGUGUAGGCGGGUCUUUAAGUCAGGGGUGAAAUGCCAAGGCUCAACCUUGGAACUGCCUUUGAUACUGGAGAUCUUGAGUCCGAGAGAGGUGAGUGGAAUUGCGAGUGUAGAGGUGAAAUUCGUAGAUAUUCGCAAGAACACCAGUGGCGAAGGCGGCUCACUGGCUCGGAACUGACGCUGAGACGCGAAAGCGUGGGGAGCAAACAGGAUUAGAUACCCUAGUAGUCC
rnacentral:rRNA from 1 species